GAUGAACGCUGGCGGCGUGCCUAAUACAUGCAAGUCGAGCGAACAGACGAGGAGCUUGCUCCUCUGACGUUAGCGGCGGACGGGUGAGUAACACGUGGAUAACCUACCUAUAAGACUGGGAUAACUUCGGGAAACCGGAGCUAAUACCGGAUAAUAUAUUGAACCGCAUGGUUCAAUAGUGAAAGACGGUUUUGCUGUCACUUAUAGAUGGAUCCGCGCCGCAUUAGCUAGUUGGUAAGGUAACGGCUUACCAAGGCAACGAUGCGUAGCCGACCUGAGAGGGUGACCGGCCACACUGGCCCUGAGACACGGUCCACACCCCUACGGGAGGCAGCAGUCGGGACUCUUCCGCAAUGGGCGAAAGCCUGACGGAGCCACGCCGCGUGAGUGAUGACGGUCUUGGGCUCGUAAACCUCUGUUAGUAGGAAAGAACAAAUGUGUAAGUAACUAUGCACGUUUUGACGGUACCUACUCAGUAAGCCACGGCUAACUACGUG
rnacentral:rRNA from 1 species